GUGUGUGAUGUGUGUGUGAUGUGUGUGUGUAUGUGAUAUGUGUGUGUGUGAUAUGAUAUAUGUGUUUGUGUCAUAUGUGUGUGUGCGUGUGUGUGUGUAUGAUGUGUGAUGUGUGUGUAUAUGUGUGUGUGACGUGUGUGUGUGUAUGUGAUGUGUGUGUAUGUGUGUGUGUGUGAUGUGUGUGUGUGUAAUGUUGUGUGUGUGUUUGAUUUGUGUGUGUGUGAUGUGAUACGUGUCUCUAUCUGUGUGUGUGUGUGUAAUGUGUGUAUGAUAUGAUGUGUGUGUAUGUAAUAUGUGUGAUGUGAUGCGUGUCUCUGUCUCUGUGAGUGUGAUGUGUGUGUGCAUUUCUCUAUGCGUGUGUGAUGUGAUGUGUGUGUGAUUAGUAUAAAUAUGUGUGUGUGAUGUGUGUGUGUGUAAUAUGUGUGUGUUGUGUGUGAUAUGUGAUGUGUGUAUGUGUGUGCGCGUGUGAUAUGUGUGUGUGUGU
rnacentral:lncRNA from 1 species